GGAUUUAAAAAAAUAAAAAUCUAUUUAUUCCAGUUUAGACAAACAUUUCAUAGUACUCACAUACAUGCAUUCAUAAUAUGUACAUGUUAUGCUUACAGUCAAUCAUGCAUAUCUGAUAUAGAAAAUUAAUACAGGUAUAUACAAUAUACGCCGCGCUUAUAGGUCAGCGUCGGCGCCUCCAGAAGCCAAUGUUGAUGUUGUUGUUGUCGUCGCCGCCGCAGCACCAUGAUGAUGUCGUCGGCGCCGCAGCCCCUUGUCGAUGCCGCCGUCAUCGUCGCCGCCGCAACCCCAUGUCGAUGUCGUCGUCGUCGUCGAUGCCACCCUAUGCCCAUGUGCUCCCUAUUAGUUUUCUUGGGCUUACUAGACAUGACCCGUAGGAAAAUGCUUUGCUGUUAGGGAUUGCACUUAGGAUAACUAGAACUGGUCCAAUGAUCCAAAAAUAGAGAGUUUCAACGGGAUCAGCGACACAACCAACUAAGAAACAGUGAAAUGACCACUAGGUCUAUAAAUAGAACACUACUACGAACUCACAAAUCCUGGAAUCAGUGGAAUUACUUUCUUUGGUGAAGGAACUUCUAUUUUGCCAGCAUCAACUAUUUGAGUUCCUGACCAUGUUCAAGAAAUACUAAAUUUAGAACAUUACUACUGUAAAUACAUGAGGCAUCAGGAUAGAAAACAAAAGAUGACCCAUAUCAUAUGAGCAGAAUAAAAAGGAGUUUGGAACAUAGCAUGAUUUACAAUAAAACUAGAAGAGAUCGCAUGAUUUACAAUCCAACGAGAGCAGCAAUUUCAGACCAACAAAAAGAAGAAACCCACAUGCAGUGUCUUCAAACUUUAGUAAAUUGUGAAUUCCUCUAUCCUAAAUUCUUCGUUAGCAAAAUUAACUAGACAAAGCUAGAUGACAGUGAAACUUAAAGCUGCAAUAAGAAAUAUUAGAUAUACACAAGUUGAAAAUCAAUCUCGGUGGAACAACAUAAGAUUGCAUCUAGAUUUCCGAAUUAAACAUAGGCAUAUCUCAUAGUUUAAAAUAAAGGCACCCAACAGAAAAGUGCAUAAAAGAUUCCAAAAUAACUCAACAAGCUGCUUCAGCUAGCAUCAUAGGAGGGGAUGUAGAAGAACAAAAAUUGAGAGACCAAAGACCUUGUGGUCUCUUUUUCUUCUGUCUGCGAGUAUUUGUGCAGUCUCUUUGCGCUGUGUAGCAUAGCAUGCAGCCUAGUUCAACGCCCAUCAAAGACCAAAGAAGUGGGCUCGACGUGUAGUGGAGAAAGACAUCGGAAUUAAGGAGGACCUCAAUCAGAAGCAUGACACUCCGGCCAAGAUCCAGCUGAACCCCGAUCGAUUACAUUUUUACACCAACUAUAUGUACUGUUACAUAAUGAAGCUAGAGUACGUCAUCCAUAUAAACUAGAGUAUCGAUUUCAGCGACAUCAGUUAAUUGUACUACUACGAAAGGAAGCUGGAUAUAUAUAAUUAAGCAUGCCUAUUAAAUAGCUCAUGUCUGAUCAUAUAUACCACAGAGAAAGACGCCAGGGUACCAACUAGCAUGGUCGGUCUUAUCGAAUUAACACUACAAUAUAGCAACUAGAUUAACACACAGCACAAUGCAUACUCGACAUGAGCAGAUGCCCUCCAGCUAGCUCAACUGAUUAAUCGCCUACUGCUACCCUGCUUCGCAGUCCUACUCCUCACCACCCAGGAAGGCCAGGAAGGCCGCGAUGAUGUCUCCCACCCCAAAGAUGACGAUGUACCGGCCAAGGGGAUCCCGAUGAAACAAGGCGCUCAACCAAACCAAGCACGACACAGACCAAACCCAUGGUGUGAGAAGAAAAACUAAAAAAAUAGCCAAUGCAUAAAGAGGUAUGCAGUACAAACAACAACAAUCUUGGUCGUGAGCACCUACACGUAAUAGUUGCCUAAUGAAUGAAAUACAUGAUUCUUUCUGCUCCCUCUCAUAUUUAUUCUGCAUCUAAUCUAAUGAAAUAAUUAGGAACAGAGUGGGAGACCCUGGUGAUGCUAGAAAACUGCCUGCACGGGACAGAUGCGGAGAUGAACAAAUCUAGAAGAAGAUAAGUGGAGGGGAGGUGGGAUGAACAAGGCUGCACCUUGAUGGUUACCGCGGCUACGGCGUGUGUCAGAGCUGGAUGGAGAAGCAUCUCCAUGGAGUACGUGCACCUUGGUGCCUGCCUGCAUGAGGAAGAGCAUCAACGGAGGCAAGGGAAGGGAAGAAGGUCAGAACCAAGACAUUGAUUGAACUCACCAAGGUCGGACCUUGACGACCAGCUCCAUGCCGUCUGUCUCCUCACGAUGCUGGUCUGAUGGGCGGAUCUGGCCACCGCCAUGGCCUGCUUGCUGGAUGUCCCCCUUCUAUCCUCUCCUCUCCUCUCCUCUCGNN
rnacentral:lncRNA from 1 species